GGGUUUUCAUUAAGAGGCGGCCGGCGGCCAAAUUGGCCGCCUAGAACACGUUUUGGGCCGGCUAGAAAUCCCGUAGAUACCAUAAAUGAAUACUUGGAAACUGCUUUGGGGGCUCGAAAGUUUACGAUUCGCUCCUUUCGGUAAUUUUAUGCAUUUCCGCUAAUUGCGGUUCACUUCCUUGGCGGCACUUAAACAUCCAAUAUGGCGACCAAAAAACGAAAAAUAGAUCGCAAAAUCGACGAUUUUUUUAAUUUUCAACCGAAAUCAAUUCAAUCUCAACACGCAUUUAUAUGAUAGCUGGAUUAAAAAGGAUUCCACUCAAGAUGUUCCGCCUAGCAACCAGCUGCACUCCCAGUCAGCAAAAGUUACAGUUAAUAUAGUCAAGAAGUCUUCGCAAGUAUGAUGUCGACUCUUUGAAUUGAUGAUGUUUGACUAUGAAAUUUGAUGAUGUUUCACUAUGAAAUUUGAUGAUGUGUGACUAUGAAAAAUGAUGAUGUUUUGUUUAUUUAAAUUGAUGAUGUCUUGCUGUGAAAUUUGAUGAUGUUUUACUAUGAAAUUUGAUGAUUUUUGACUAUGAAAUUUGAUGAUGUUUAACUAUGAAAUUUGAUUAAGUUUGACUAUGAAAAUUGAUGAUGUUUUGUUAAAUUGAUAAUGUUUUCCUAUGAAAUUUGAUGAAGUUUGGCUAUGAAAUUGGAUAUGUUUUACUAUGAAAAAUGAUGAUGUUUUACUAUGAAAAUUGAUAAUGUUUUGCUUUGAAAAUUGAUGAUGUUUAACUAUGUGAAAGUUGUAGUGAUGAAGUUUUGCUAUGAAAAUUGAUGAUACUUUGCUUUAAAGAUUUAUGAUGAAAAAUUAUGAUGCUUUACUAUUUGAAGUGAUGAUGCUUUACUAUUUGAAGUGAUGAUGCUUUACUAUUUGAAGUGAUGAUGUUUGACUAUGAAAUAUGAAGUUUGAAAUGAUGCUGCUUGACUUUGAACAAUGUUAAAAUGUGAUCAUGUGAGAGUAUGUAAAAUGAUGAUUGUUGGCUAUGAAAAGUGUUUAUGUUUGGCUUUGAAAAUUGAUGAUGUUGAUUAUAAAUAAUGAUGAUCAAG